GAUGAACGCUGGCGGCGUGCCUAAUACAUGCAAGUCGAGCGAACAGACGAGGAGCUUGCUCCUCUGACGUUAGCGGCGGACGGGUGAGUAACACGUGGAUAACCUACCUAUAAGACUGGGAUAACUUCGGGAAACCGGAGCUAAUCCCGGAUAAUAUAUUGAACCGCAUGGUUCAAUAGUGAAAGACGGUUUUGCUGUCUCUUAUAGAUGGAUCCGCGCCGCAUUAGCUAGUUGGUAAGGUAACGGCUUACCAAGGCAACGAUGCGUAGCCGACCUGAGAGGGUGAUCGGCCACACUGGAGCUGAGACACGGUCCAGACUCCUACGGGAGGCAGCAGUAGGGAAUCUGCCGCAAUGGGCGAAAGCUUGACGGAGCAACGCCGCGUGAGUGAUGAAGGUCUUCGGAUCGUAAAACUCUGUUAUUAGGGAAGAACAAAUGUGUAAGUAACUAUGCACGUCUUGACGGUACCUAAUCAGAAAGCCACGGCUAACUACGUG
rnacentral:rRNA from 1 species